AUAUUACUCCCUCUGUCCAACAAAAGAUGUCUCAUGUUUGUCAAAAUUUGGAUGUAUAUAGACAUGACUUAGUGUAUAGAUGCAUUCAAAUUUAGUCAAAGUUGAGACAUUCUUUGUUGGAUGGAGAAAGUAAAAU
rfam:Brachypodium distachyon strain Bd21 chromosome 5, whole genome shotgun sequence.